AUGCCGAGAAGGUGGCAGGUCUGGGGCCGGCCUGACGGUAGCCAAGUCUGGGUCCCCGCCCCCGACCCCGACGCGCCGCCCCCGCCGCCGCCCGCCGCCGCCCCGCCUCUUCCUCCACCGGGGCGCGCCGCGGGGACAGCCGCCGCUUCAUUCGAGGAAGCGCUGGUCAAAGGUACCCCCCCAUCGUGCUCUCAUAUCAGCGUGGAUUCCUUCCUAAAAAUGGUGGUGGAUACUGACUUGACUGGCCCCUCUCCCGCGUUGUCGUUUCUCCGAUCCGAAACCCUAGGCCGGGGUGCUGCCGACGGAUGCCGUGUCGAGUCCAUGGCCAACCACCUCGUCCAAGGUACGGCCUCCUCCCUUCACCUCUUCUAUUUGGUCCUUGUCUGUGUGAGCACGCGUGUGCCCCUACCUGCAUCCUCAACUAUUGAAAUGGCUGCGCGCGUGCUCAAGCAUCUCUAA
rnacentral:rRNA from 1 species